UGGGGAAUUUUGGACAAUGGGGGCAACCCUGAUCCAGCAAUGCCGCGUGUGUGAAGAAGGCCUUCGGGUUGUAAAGCACUUUUGUCCGGAAAGAAACGCCGUGGUUAAUACCCGUGGCGGAUGACGGUACCGGAAGAAUAAGCACCGGCUAACUACGUGCCAGCAGCCGCGGUAAUACGUAGGGUGCAAGCGUUAAUCGGAAUUACUGGGCGUAAAGCGUGCGCAGGCGGUCCGCUAAGACAGAUGUGAAAUCCCCGGGCUUAACCUGGGAACUGCAUUUGUGACUGGCAGGCUAGAGUAUGGCAGAGGGGGGUAGAAUUCCACGUGUAGCAGUGAAAUGCGUAGAGAUGUGGAGGAAUACCGAUGGCGAAGGCAGCCCCCUGGGCCAAUACUGACGCUCAUGCACGAAAGCCGUGGGGGAGCAAAACAGGAUUAGAUACCCCUGGUAGUUCCACGCCCUAAACGAUGUCAACUAGUUGUCGGGUCUUCAUUGACUUGGUAACGUAGCUAACGCGUGAAGUUGGACCGCCUGGGGAGUACGGUCGCAAGAUUAAAAACUCAAAUGAAUUGACGGGGUCAUAGCUGUUUCCAU
rnacentral:rRNA from 1 species